rnacentral:rRNA from 1 species
AACGAACGCUGGCGGCAUGCCUAACACAUGCAAGUCGAACGAAGCCUUCGGGCUUAGUGGCGCACGGGUGCGUAACGCGUGGGAAUCUGCCCCUUGCUUCGGAAUAACAGUUAGAAAUGACUGCUAAUACCGGAUGAAGUCUUCGGACCAAAGAUUUAUCGGCAAGGGAUGAGCCCGCGUAGGAUUAGGUAGUUGGGGGGGUAAAGGCCCACCAAGCCGACGAUCCUUAGCUGGUCUGAGAGGAUGAUCAGCCACACUGGGACAGGGACAAGGCCCAGACUCCUACGGGAGGCAGCAGGGGUGAAUAUGGGACAACGGACGCAAGUCUGAUCCCGCAAGGCCGCGUGAGUGAUGAAGGCCUUAGGGUUGUAAAGCUCUUUUACCAGGGAUGAUAAGGCCAGUACCAGGAGAAUAAGCCCCGGCUAACUCCUU